GGUUCAUUCAAAUUUUUGCCCUAUCAACUUUCGAUGGUAGGAUAGUGGCCUACCAUGGUUUCAACGGGUAACGGGGAAUUAGGGUUCGAUUCCGGAGAGGGAGCCUGAGAAACGGCUACCACAUCCAAGGAAGGCAGCAGGCGCGCAAAUUACCCAAUCCCGACCGGGGAGGUAGUGACAAUAAAUACUGAUACAGGGUUCUUUCGGAUCUUGUAAUUGGAAUGAGUACAAUUUAAAUCCCUUAACGAGGAACAAUUGGAGGGCAAGUCUGGUGCCAGCAGCCGCGGUAAUUCCAGCUCCAAUAGCGUAUAUUAAAGUUGUUGCAGUUAAAAAGCUCGUAGUUG
rnacentral:rRNA from 1 species